rnacentral:rRNA from 1 species
UACGUAGGUGACCAGCGUUGUCCGGAUUUACUGGGCGUAAAGAGCGCGCAGGCGGUCGUUCAAGUCGAGUGUGAAAGCCCCCGGCUCAACUGGGGAGGGUCACUCGAUACUGAUCGACUCGAAGGCAGGAGAGGGUGAGUGGAAUUCCCGGUGUAGUGGUGAAAUGCGUAGAUAUCGGGAGGAACACCAGUGGCGAAGGCGACUACCUGGCCUGUUCUUGACGCUGAGGCGCGAAAGCUAGGGGAGCAACGGG